GUCUCCGUAGCGCAAUGGGUAGCGCGUUGAACUACUAAUCCGAAGUUCGUGGGUUUGAAUCCCACCCGGGAUG